GAUGAACGCUGGCGGCGUGCUUAACACAUGCAAGUCGAACGGUGAAGCAGGAGCUUGCUCUUGUGGAUCAGUGGCGAACGGGUGAGUAACACGUGAGCAACCUGCCCCUGACUCUGGGAUAGGCGCUGGAAACGGCGUCUAAUACUGGAUAUGUGAUGUGACCGCAUGGUCUGCAUCUGGAAAGAAUUUCGGUUGGGGAUGGGUUCGCGGCCUAUCAGCUUGUUGGUGAGGUAAUGGCUCACCAAGGCGUCGACGGGUAGCCGGCCUGGGAGGGUGACCGGCCACACUGGGACUGAGACACGGCCCACACCCCUACGGGAGGCAGCAGUGGGGAAUAUUGCACAAUGGGCGGAAGCCUGAUGCAGCAACGCCGCGUGAGGGAUGACGGCCUUCGGGUUGUAAACCUCUUUUAGCAGGGAAGAAGCGAAAGUGACGGUACCUGCAGAAAAAGCACCGGCUAACUACGUGCCAGCCGCCGCCGUAA
rnacentral:rRNA from 1 species